ACGGGAGGCAGCAGUGGGGGAUAUUGCACAAUGGAGGAAACUCUGAUGCAGCAACGCCGCGUGAGGGAAGAAGGUCUUCGGAUUGUAAACCUUUGUCUUUGGUGACGAAGAAAGUGACGGUAGCCAAGGAGGAAGCUCCGGCUAACUACGUGCCAGCAGCCGCGGUAAUACGUAGGGAGCGAGCGUUAUCCGGAUUUACUGGGUGUAAAGGGUGCGCAGGCGGGAACGCAAGUUGGAUGUGAAAACUAUGGGCUUAACCCAUAAACUGCAUCCAAAACUGCGAUUCUUGAGUGAAGUAGAGGUAGGCGGAAUUCCUAGUGUAGCGGUGAAAUGCGUAGAUAUUAGGAGGAACACCAGUGGCGAAGGCGGCCUACUGGGCUUUAACUGACGCUGAGGCACGAAAGCAUGGGUAGCAAACAGGAUUAGAUACCCUGGUA
rnacentral:rRNA from 2 species